CCCAUCCAUCUAUCACACGUGUAGACAAAGGGGGACUCCACAACACAAAGCUAGAUGUGCCCUCUCAAACUUUUUCCACGACGCACAGCAACGCGCGCAGAGCAAACCGACUCCCCAGGUGGGAAUUUAAGCCAUUUAACCAGGACAGCGUUUGCCUCCGGUGGAUUAAGAAAAGAAAAAAAAAUGUGUAAAACAACAACCAAACAAAACAAAAAAGAAAAAAAACACGUGGAUGAUGUACAGAGUCACCUAUCAAGUCAUUUGUAAGAUGAAAUGGAGGAUUAAGAGACUGCAGUUUUCUUCUGGAUGAACAUGACGACUGAUCUCAUAAGGAUUUAGACUUCAGCAGCAGCACCAGUCGGAUUGUGUUUUACACACUUGGAAAUCUAAACCUCAUGGAGAUACUUUGAGGAUUAUAAAAAUGGGCAUGCAGAAUGCCACAAUACAAGACGCGUCCUGGGCCAAAGCCUUUGGGAUAGCAGGAUAUUGCUUUCCUGAUCCUUCUCGGCCCUCAGCGUGGGGAGUGUGGGAGUGGUGAGGUCUGGGAGAUCACGACCUUAAUUCUCUCCAAGACAGACGGUUUAAUUAACACUGGAAGAAUCCUCACUGACUCCAGACCUCUGCAAUGAGAAUGUACAGGGGAAUUGGAUUGCCAAGGUCCUCUUGGCCAUAGACUGAAAUGCUGACAGAAGAUGCCCAUGAAUGAUGAAUGAUGACUGGAGGACUGUCUGGUGCCAACAGAAUGCAUAAUACAGCAUCGAUACAGCAAUUCCAGUCCUCCUCACCAGAAACAUGGUGCAGUUUCUAUAUCACAUUAUUGGAAGAUUUGCCCCCAGCAGGACACCAGGACCACUUAAAGUGGAAAUCAACUGCAAAACAGCUCUCAGGAAUGUAUUUCUACUUGGAGUCAUUGGAAAGAGUUUUCUGGCCCCCUUCAUUGUAGUCCACAUAGCAAGAAGACCACCUCAUAGGGAUUUUCCUCUUCACCAGGUGUGUCAGAGCGAGACUCAGUGGGAAAGAUCACCUGGCCUAGACAGGAGUGUGAGGUGCAGAUCUACAAAGCAGCUUACGUGAAACUGGAGAAAGCAGAUGAAGAGAACGAAGAGAACAGGAAGAUGGGGGAAAAACAUAAAAGCAGCAAGUGAUUAACAUUUACCUUUUUUUUUAAUAACAUUUUGAGUAUUUUCAUCAGUAAAAGUUCUAAUAUAAAGUUGUUUCUCAUCACCUUAAACUGCAAGAAUCUGACUUUGGAUACACGGGUAUCCUGUUGUAUCCUGUUGUAGAAUCAAGGAUGGAGUCACAGCUAUCAGGGCUGCAUUUCACAGCUCACUGUAUCACAGAAUGUAAACAAAAGUUUGAUGACAAAUAUGUAUUCAUGUUAUUUACUAUGUAUCAAAAAUAUAUAAAUAAUUGCACCACUUUGUAAAAUGCUUUUUUGUAUUUAUUUUUAAAACAAUAUGUCUGCAAAAGGCCUGUAAUUGUGGCAUACUCAUGUUUCUUUUAUCUUGGUUGCUACUGUGUGUUUUAUAUACAAUAUUCAGAAAUGCUUGAUGUCACAACAGUCACAGCCAUUAAGUUGUGCCAGGGAAUGGCUGUGACAUACAACAAUAAUCCAGCUGAUGCUGAGCCCACCAUUGUGACGAGAGUCACUGCUGUGUUUUUACUGCUCUGUUUGUUUCCCUGUGUGUGUGUGUGUGUGUGUGUGUGUGUGUGUGUGUGUGUGUGUGUGUGUGUGUGUGUGUGUGUGUGUGUGUGUGUGUGUGUGUGUGUGUGUGUGUGUGUCUGCUCCAAGAAGAGACCAGCAAAACGGUGGACUCUCACACUGAGCUGCAGAGAAAGUAGUUUCACAGGGAGGGACUCACAUGUGCUAACAUGCGCUCAGUGCUUGCAAAAGGGCAACACACAUGGGUGGAGGGUGAAUAAAUUCCCUCUUUAUAACUUUAUGCUGCAAAUAGUUGCCAUUUAAUUUUCAAAAUCUUAUGCAAGCUUGUUUAUUUGCUGUUUCAAAUUUGUUUCAUAAUACACAUCUUUUUUUGUAUAGGAGGUUGGCAAUCUUGUAUAUCAAUAUAUAUACUGUAUAUGUGCACUUCAUCUCUUAAGAAGUAAGGGCAACAAAUACUACAUUAAAUGCAUGUAUUCAUGCAAUAUGUAAAACUCUGGAGGAAUAUGACCAGCACUGAGAUCACUCCUUGUGAAGACUUUCACUUUUAUCAGCACAACAUGGAUUAUCAAUGAAUAUUGCAUUGUUUUGAGAAAAAUCUAGUUAAAAUAAUAUAAAGAAUUUUAAUGGCUACUCAAGAGACUCGUGAAAAUAUGAAGCUAUACUUUUCAUAUGAGAAUACCAGCAGCGCUCAAAGGUACAGAACCAAGUGCCUCUUCGUCUGCAUUUAGAGAGUGAAGAGGGAAGAGAGGUAAUUAUUUUUCCCUCCACAACUGCAUGGUAAAACACUUUAAAUAGUUUAGAGUUGAGUGGCUCGCUGCAGUGUGCUGUGAUAAUGAUAGCGGUGACUUUAGAUGAAAAAUGUCUUACUUCUGCCAAUUAGAUUUGAGUUUGAUCUGAGGUGGCUUUCAACUCAUAGGGCAGGGGAACCCUUAAGCUUACUUUUACAAUAUGCUCAUCGACCACUUCUUUAUUCUCACAGGGCCGGUCUGACCCAAGAUGAUAGAAACCAGUUCAGUAUAGUUUUAUCUCCAUGACUCCAGUUGUAAAUGUGACGAUAUGAACAAGUUCACAGUACAGUACCAAAUAGGAAGUAAUCUGUAAUAAUAGGUUUUUAAUUAAAUGUUGCAUAAAUUCAUGAUAAAAGGAUGCCAUAAAUAUCAAUGGCACCCAUGGCUAUUCCUCCAGUUAUGAUUUCAUUUAAAUGCGAAAAUGUAAUCAUAACUGUUUAUGAGUGAAAAGAUCAAAUUUUAAGAUACUUUAUCUCACAUAGGAGUUGCUGCAACAGGCUGCCUCUCACCACAGCGCUGUGGCAACACAACACACAGUUGUAUGGUAAAGGUUCUUUAGAUAUUUAAGUCAUGCUUCCCCUUUUGCAACUCCACUGCUUUGGCUAAUGAACAGAAAUAAAUCUUUUUAUAUACAAGACAGCCCAUUUUCACCCAGCGUAGAACAUGUAAAAUACCAGAGCAGGGUUAACACAUUUUCAGGGAUGAAUUUUCAGGCCUGUCUAUUUGUGUAUGUGGUUACUAACCCCAGCUACCCUGGUCAGAACACCCCCCACCACCACCUCACCCAGUUACCCACCAUAGUUUCCAUCAGCAGUUUAUCACACUUCCUUUCCUUGUGCUCAACGUCCCCCCCCAGUCUGUCUGCCAGACAGGAAAAUCAAAGACUUUGGGACUAUCAUUACAGUCCAAAUGGUAUAUUGCAAUAUACAACAUGCCCAUGAUAUAUGACAUAAAAGUUUUAUAAGUAUGAAUCAGGAGAUAUGUAAAAGUAGAGUUUUCCUUUAAC